CAUUAGAUGACUGAAAGUCAAGUACUGGUCUCUUAAACCACUUAAUAGUAAUGUAGCGCUUACUUCUAAUG
rnacentral:tRNA from 1 species